ACCCCCCUCCCAGAACUGCUGAGGGCCUUCAAGGUAUGCAUUACUGCAGGAAAUGGAUCAUGGUCUGGACACCACAGAAAGAACCAUCACCUUUCUAUUGAGCUGUAUUGAUGGCAGUAAUGCAGACAGCAGCCUUAGACUUUGCUUUAGAGCAGUAUCAUUUCAGAACAUAGGUUUGUUUUUUUUUUUUAAGAUAUCAGAGCAUAGCUGUGUUCUGUUCCCAGCUUACAGAUAGCCUAGGUCAUCUAGUUUUAUGACAGAAACAAAGGAGGAAAUAGACAAAUAAUUCUUAAGCAGAACUAGGACUAAAAAUGAUAACCAGCUUACCAGAAGUAAUCUGGGGGAAGUUAACGUCCUGCUUUACGCCUAGACAGCUUACAUCCUUGUAGCUACUGGACAUAUCAAUACAGUAGGAAAAACAUCACAACAAAGGCAUGAUGAUGGAAAAACUAACACAAUAGAAAGAAGCUAUAAAAAAAGGAAGAAGAUUGCUCACCUGUAACAGAAGAUUCUAUGAUUGCAAGGGAAAGCUCCCCAAAGGAGAUCUCCAAAGAGAGAUCUUUCCUCACCAGCAGUCAGCCCUUAAAUGAGGUCUAAGAGAGGUGCAGCCAGGCUCCACCCCUUUUGAUCACACACCUGAAUUGCCUUCAUCUGUGCUCCCAGGGCUGACUGGGUCCUUUCCCCAGGUGCUCAAUCAGUGGUUCAUGCCAUUACUCAGCAGUUCCCAUACAACAAUCAAGGCCAUCAGGAGUUAAAGUUGAUACAACUAAAUACAUGCCAUGCUUUUUGCUUAAAUGUUUCUUGAAUAAAUAAUAUACCCAGUGAAAACUUCUAGAGAAGCAUUAGAAAGAGCUGUUCUAUACCAGGGACUGUACUUUAUCCUUAUGGGUCCCUUCCGACUCAGAAAGUUCUACACUUCUGAUUUAUUUAUUUGUUUAUUUUGUACAGAAGGAAAAGCCUACUUGUCUGUUUUUCUGUGAUUGUGUUGUUGGCUUCUGUUUUAUUUUUUUCUUGCUAUAUUUCUCAACUCCGCCCUUCCCCGCCCCUCCCCUGCAACAUGUGCAUUUCAGUGAGUCUGAAAUCUCGAAGGAAUCAGAUAACCCUUCUGUUACUCCAGCUGUUGAUGGGAAUUCAUGGUCUGCAUGUCUGAGUUACGCAGCCACCUCCACCGAGGACAGUUCCAUCUUCUCUCAGGGCUAUGACGUGACACCAUUUCCAAGUGUUUCUUGUAACUUGAAACCUGAUAAUGGGUAGGAAAAUGGAAAAGAGUCAUCUCCGCUUUUGGCACUCGAGGUUUCUGUUUUGCCAGUCACCUUCCUUGUUUUUCUUCUUUGCCUCUCAUUCUGUGUUUUCAGUUAAAAAACAGUGAAGUAAAAUCUUUGGGAGAGAUCUUUCAGUAUCUCGUAUUCGAUCUUUUCCACUGAGAAAGAAAUCUACCUGGUUGUGAUCACUGGAUGAUUUCUGGGUUUUUGUUUUGUUUUGUUUUGUUUUUUGCUUUUUUGUUUUGUUUUGUUUUUUAAUACAUGUACACAAUAGGAAGAUGGUAAAAAUCCUCAGGAUGUAGAAGAAGAGCAGAGCAUCUUUUGGAGAGCACUGGUAGAUGAACUGCUCCAGUUGUCUCUGUAAGGACGAUAUUGUACUGCUCUCCUCAGGGCAAAGUUCUGCCUGAAAAGAUUUCUUGAACACUAAAAUAUGUUGUUCAGGAAUUGCUGUUAAUUUUACUUGCUGGCAAUCCUUUCUAUAGCAAUUACUAUGGCCAUAGCAGUCCUCUGUACAUCACCUUUAUAUCUGUUCUUGAUGCUGAAGCUUUGAUUGUGAGUGCCAAUAACAUACACACAAAGUCUGUUAUGAGCUUCCUUCCUCUCAGAACUCCCUUGUAUUCACAAAUACAAAUUAAGGGAGAGCCAUGUUGCUCCUAUCCAAACUGCCUAUCCCUGACACACCCAGCUGAAGCUGUCUCGAGCUCAGUGUUUCAGGAAGGAAUUUCAAUUUUUCAUAAAAUUUCUUUACUAUUUUUAGCAUUAAUCGCGUGGACAUCAGCAACACUUCUGUGAACCUGUCCUCCUUUUUGACUCAGACCUGCCUCAGAAGCUUAGAGUUUUCCAAACUAUUACUAAGUGUUGCAGGCACUUUCCAAGUAAUACAUAAGAUCAGUGUGAUGUUUAUUCAUGUUUCCCCCGUGUUCCAGAAAGACCUCUGUAGUGAUCUUUAAAGCAAAACCUGUUGUAGUACGUCCAAUUCUACCUCUAGUUCCCUAUUUCUGUUGUCAAACCAGGUUGUUAAACUAUGAGUGAGGGUGAGUUUCUCCUAAUUUGCUCCACGCUCCCUGCAUGUUGACUUUAUUGGGACUUUUGCUUAUGGAGGUCUUUCAUUGCUGGGAGUUCCCUGGCAUAGCAUUUGCACGGUCAUCAAGGCAAGGUGUAUACUGACGCUAAGGACACUGGGCUGGCGGCAGAGCACAGGCCAUUUCUCAUACUAUUUGGACUAUUUGGACUAUUAUAGGGUGUAACUUUUGGACUAUUCUCUGGCAGAUGUAAUGAAGAGAAUUAUGUUUCAAGUUGCACGUUGUUCACCAUCAGGAUUUCAAUGUGAAUAAUAAUAGGCACUUGUAGUUCACAUGUAGCUUCAUUUCUAAAAUAGGAAAUAGUAUUUUCCUUAGAGAAAAUCACCAGAAUGGUGAAGGUAAGUUCCGAUUAAAUAGGUUAAUUAGGUUAAUAGGUUAGACAGAGCAAAGAUCAACAAAACUCAAUUAUUGAAGUUUCAAGACCAACAGAAAGAAGUAUUGGCAGAGAUUUUAAAGUACUAGUGUCUAGUCUCUGCGUGGUUUGGAACAGGUUCAGCUUCAGAAGAUAAUCUGAGAAAUGAGUAGAUGCAAAGGGCAGUCCUUAAUGUUGUAAUGCAGCAAUUCAGGUUCUUCUGAGGAACCUUUCACUUCUCAGGAACGGGAAUGGUGCUCACUUCUGAACUCAACUUUCUCAUUCAGAGUCUUUUCCCUACCUUUGGAGGGGUAUUCAGAGGGUUUUCCUAAAUGACACUAAUACAUCCAAAGGGCUGAAAAUGAGCAAGCGUAAUUGUCCUUUUAUCUUUCAUGUGCUGUCAUCCUAACACAAAUCCACUGGAAUUUUGGCAGCUUUUUGUUGUUGUUGUUGUUGAGAUGACACCACCAGUCUUCUGGAGAAUUUCAAAGCAUUUAAACUGAUAUAUUUCACAAGUAAUCACAGCUGCCUUGCCCUUCCUAAAACUUACAUAAAGAUUUUAAAAGAGUAUACGUAGCUCUGCAUGUUUUUGAAACAAAAUAAAGUUUAUUAUAGUUAAAGUGGAGACGUAGCGUGGGCUUUAGCUCCAAUUGCAUCAUUAGUCCUGCCUACAUUAUUCAAUAUACUUCAGUUGUCAUACGUAUGUUGCAAAACCUGAAGUGUGCAGGGAACAAAUCUGGCCAUUAAAUUUACAUAACGCAUAGUGACAUUUCUCUGGACUGCGGGCAAACACAGGAAAAACAAAACUUACACUUCAGAAAGCCAUCUACAAAUGCAAGGAAAAAAUAGAUUAAGCACAAGGACUGUACUGUAAGAACUAGUGAGGAAAAUCUUUUACUCCAUUUUUAGGCAAGGUUUAUUGCAGGUAACUGGACAGUAGAGUGUAAAAAGCUGAAAUACCAGCUUGGAGUUUUAUAAUGUUUGUGGUAGGAAAAAGAUAAAAAGCUUUAAGACAUUAUUUGAGGUUGAUUAAACAUGUCAACAGUGUGGAGGAAAAGAGCGCAAAGCCCUUAUAAGUGCAAACAUAAAAUAUUACAAGUGUUAUGGUAUUAGAUAAAAUAAAACAUAAAAAUAAUUUCAGGUCUGCAUCCUGGCUACUAAAACUGCACUUAUUUUCCAUUUGCAAUACUAUCAUUUAAGGAUAUAAAGACUUAUAUUUUAAGGGAGAUUAAGCAGGAUACAACAGGAAGUCAAGCACUAAACAGUUGUGAUACCGUAUUGUUGUUUAAAAGAGGGAUUAAGUAGCAUAGAGGAAAGGCUAAGUCAGGGCUUAAACCAGUGAUUGAGCACCUGGUGGGAAGGCAGGGCCAACCCAGGGGAGCUCAGGUGCAUGUAAUGUAGCUAAAUGACUGGGAGUGGUGGACCCGGGAUAUACCCCUUCCCAGCCCUCAUUUAAGGGUUGGCAGUGGAAGGAUGGGUAUCUCUUGUUGGAGGUCCCUGUGAAUCUAUAGUCUUCUGAAGGGCUUCUUGUGCUGUGAAUGUACGAGGCUGCCAAGCAGAGAGCACAUGAAAAAGUAAUUGUUUGUUUGAAUGGUGUGGCACGAUACCGCAGUUCUUCAAAGCAUUAUGUGCACAGUACAGAUACAGAUGUCCUGAGUGCUUCACCUCAUUCACCCAACUGCACUUGCAGAUGUCCUUGGAAUGAGGAACACUUCAAAGAUUCAAGUCCAAGUUUCAAGUUCAAUGUGGUUGUUGAAGAGCACCAGUGUUUAAGCACUUUACUUCAGGCCUCUCUUCGGUUCUGAAAACAUCAGAUAACAGCUGCAAGCUUUAAAAAGCAGCUGGAUAUAAGUGAUGUACCCUAUAAUCUGUUCAAAGCCUUUUGUACUGUAACACUUUGUCUUUGAAACCAAUAAUCUCUUUUUUUUUUUGUUUCAAACUUUUUGAUGGAUUAUGUUUCUUGGAAUUGCCCAGACUCUCCAAACUGAGGUUUGUUUUGAGGAACUGUAGGGGCUGGGUUUUAAUUUGUCCCAGUUUUCUCCUCUUGCUGUAUUAUGCAAGCUUCUCAUUUUGUGUUUAUACCAUUAAGAUAUUGCUUAGGAAUACUAUUACUUGAAUAGUUCUGGAGAUCAAAUUGCCCAUGGAAAUACCACAUGUGAUAAUGCUGUUAUACUCUGAUUAUAUUAUAUGCUAUUGUGUAUUGUAAUUAGACAUAUUUUAAAAUAGUAUCCCCGAAGGCCAAUGAAAUCAUGUAAUUCAGAACUACUAGGUUAUCCUAAGCAGUCUGAAGGUUCUGGAUGAGUAGACGAGCUCCUGGAAGUCAGUUUUGUGGGAGACCUAUUGGACAACCCUGUGGAGAAAGCUGCUGGCAGCUACUACUGUCUGGGAAAUUGGUUAUAUAAUGUGUGAUGGAGUUUAAAGGGCCCAAGGGGAGCAUUUUGUUAAUGAUAGGGAAUAAAACUGCCCAUAGGAAUACUGAGGAGCUGGAGGUAGGAAGCGGUUCCAGUGUUGAGAAUGUUUUGUCGUAGUUCUGACUGUAAGUCUUCUCUCAGGAAGAGAGGUGGAGUGGUUGGAUAUGUUUGUAGCUGCAUGCUGUUAUCUAAAACUACUUGUAUUAUGUAGAAAAUACUUUGAAGCAAUUUCUAUGAAGUUAUGUGUUAAGCAUUGUUAUUAAUUGUAAGCAGUUGUUUGUAAUGCUUUGAACUAAGUAAAAUCACCUUCAGGUGAUUUUUCUUUUUUUUCCCCUCUAGUAUUAUCCUCACUAGUAUUGCUUCUGCACAUCCUUAAUGGUACUAUGCUGAUACAACCUAUCUGAAUAAAGUGAAAUAAUGCUUCCUUUGCAGUGUUCAGAGUGCAGGCCUUAAUCAUCCUUAAUUUUUAAGUCUAAUCCUCAAGUUAGAACAAGUGUUUUUUUAUCUUCUUGAGCAACAGAUAAGCUUCUUGUAGAACCACUAUUGCUGAAUGAGAAAUACCACCCUGGAUGUUUUGCAGCCCUCUCAGGGUGACUGAGGAAACUGUUAAAGACAUGGAAGUGGAUUGCUACUUGUGGCAUACUAGCAUGUAACAUCGAUCUGUAACAGUAACUCCAUCACUAAAAAUCUUGGCAGGAAUGGUUGUGGUAACUGAAGCGUAAUGUAAAUGUAUCAAAAUGAUAGGAAUUAAUUUUGAAUUACACUUUCAUUUAGUUUUGUUCUAAUAACUUAAUUUUACUAGUAAAGAGUUUAAAACUAAGAACUUCAAGGCACGUCUUCACAAGUUUGUUCUUGAAACUUGGGGAAAUAAUCUCCGUGCUCCUGAUCUGUGUAGGAGUUCUUGCAUGAGGAGUAGUGGAUUGAGUUCCCCCAGGUUUAAUGCCAGAGUUAACUGAAAGCCCAGAGACAAAAGCUUUGUCGUUGUUUCUGAAGCUGCACUUCUGAUUCAUUCUGUUCUCUAAUUCCCUGUGUCUUGAGAAUGCUGAUCCCAGAUCAGAAUAUGAGCUUGAAAAUGCUGUAAUAUUAAAAUUACAGUUGAGAUAGUGGAUAUAUUUCUGCUCCAUCUAUAGUGUCCAAGACUACGAGGCUGUUUUUUUUUCCAACCCACUAUAGUAAGAUAAUUCAGCAGAAACUUCUAAUUA
ensembl:lncRNA